UACGUAGGUGGCGAGCGUUGUCCGGAUUUAUUGGGCGUAAAGCGCGCGCAGGCGGUGCGGUAAGUCUGUCGUGAAAUCUCCCGGCUCAACUGGGAGGGUGCGGUGGAGACUGCCGGACUAGAGGCACUCAGAGGCCGGUGGAAUUCCCGGUGUAGUGGUGAAAUGCGUAGAGAUCGGGAGGAACACCAGUGGCGAAGGCGGCCGGCUGGGGGUGACCUGACGCUGAGGCGCGAAAGCGUGGGGAGCGAACAGG
rnacentral:rRNA from 1 species